UCCCAAGUGCAAUACAUUGGAUCACGAGCUGUUUUUCCAAUCCUCUGAUUCUAUACACACUAGCUGCAACAGACGUCUUGCUAUAGUCUAUAGACAGUCGAUUUACACUGCGACAACAGUAAAUCGAGCAAAAGAAAGAGAAAUGGAAAAAAAGAAGAUUGCUGUUGGAGUAGCUAGUGGCGGUAUGGGUGCCACAAUUGGGGGUUUGAUUGGUGCUCUUGCUGCUGGCAUUCCAUCAUUUGGCCUUGCAGCAGGUGCUGGUGCUGUGAUCGGAGCAGUUCUUGGGGGUGGGAUGGGGGUGGUUGCCAGUGCUAGUACUGGAGCGAAACCUCCCCCAACUGUGGUUUUUAAUACAGUGCCAAAACUUGAGGGAAAAAUCCACAAGUCACCAGAAAUUGAGGAGGCACAGAGCAAGGAAAUAUCUGGAGAGGCACCACCUUUUGUAGCUCCAGCAGUGCAAGACGACCAAACUGAUUCUAGAGACGCUGAUGAUGAGCUAUCUAUUCCAAACUCAUCUGCAUCUGGUGAUAGUGGUGUAUAUUAUCAAUAGUGCAUGUAUAACAGUGUUGUGUGCAUAUACAGCUGAGUCAUGCAUGCCUGACUGAGUACAUUUAGCUGAAAUGCAUACUAUAGUAGAGAUUUGUAUUAGCCUCUUUCUGUUUCUUUGUCACACUAUAACUAUACGCCAUGCAGAAUCAAGUAUUUGUGUAUAAUUGCAUGUGACUUA